UGCCAGCAGCCGCGGUAAUACGGAGGGGGUUAGCGUUGUUCGGAAUCAUUGGGUUUAAAGGGUCCGUAGGUGGAUUAAUAAGUCAGAGGUGAAAUCCUGCAGCUCAACUGUAGAAUUGCCUUUGAUACUGUUAAUCUUGAGUCAUUAUGAAGUGGUUAGAAUGUGUAGUGUAGCGGUGAAAUGCAUAGAUAUUACACAGAAUACCGAUUGCGAAGGCAGAUCACUAAGCUACGAUUGACGCUGAGGCACGAAAGCGUGGGGAGCGAACAGGAUUAGAUA
rnacentral:rRNA from 1 species